rnacentral:rRNA from 1 species
UACAUUAGAUACCCCGGUAGUCCUAGGCGUAAAUGAUGCGAGUUAAGUUGGGGGCAUCUACGAGAUGGCCCUGUGCUGUAGGGUAGCCGUUAAACUCGCUGCCUGGGGAGUACGGUCGCAAGGCUGAAACUUAAGGAAUUGGCGGGGAGCACCACAAGAGGUGGAGGCUGCGGUUCAAUUGGACUCAACGCCGGAAACUCAUCGGGAGCGACAGCAGUAUGAUUGCCAGGUUGAUGACCUUGCUUGACAAGCUG